rfam:complete chromosome Acholeplasma palmae.
AUGUAACAAAGGCAAAACUACUGAAAGGUAGUGACGCAAAACUAAAGGGCCUUUUAAAUGGUAGCCAGUUGUCAUU